rnacentral:rRNA from 1 species
AAUGAACGCUGGCGGCAUGCCUAACACAUGCAAGUCGAACGAACAGACCGGGAGCUUUCUCCUCUGGCGUUGGCGGCGGACGGGUGCGUCACAUGUGGAUAACAUACCUAUAAGACUGGGAUGACAACGGGAGACCAGAUCUAAUACCGGAUAAUAUAUCGAACCGGAUGGUUCAAGAGUGAAAGUCGGUUUUGGUGACACUAAUAGCUGAAUCCGCGCCGCAUUAGCUAGUUGGUAAGGUAACGGCUUACCAAGGCUACGAUGCGUAGCCGACCUGAGAGGGUGAUCGGCCACACUGGAACUGAGACACGGUACAGACACCUACAGGAGGCAGCAGUAGGGAAUCUUCCGCAAUGGGCGAAAGCCUGACAGAGCAACGCCGCGUGAGUGAUGAAGGUCUUCGGAUGGUAGAACUCUGUUAUUAGGGAAGAACAAAUGUGUAAGUAACUAUGCUCGUCUUGACGGUACCUAAAGAGUAAGCCACGGCUAACUACGUG